GUCUUUUUGAUAAUAAUUUAAAGUCUAAUCUGCCCACUGAUAAAUAUUAAAGGGCUGCAGUAUUUUGACUGUACAAAGGUAGCAUAAUCAUUAGUCUUUUAAUUGGUGACUUGUAUGAAAGAUUUGAUGAAAUAUAAACUGUCUCUUAAAAAUUUAUAUAAUUUAAUUUUUUGGUUAAAAAGCUAAAAUAUUUUUAAAAGACGAGAAGACCCUGUAGAGUUUUAUAAUUUUAAUAUUUUUAAUUUUAUAUUUAAAUUUAAAUUAAAAAAGUGAAAAUUAUUUUGUUGGGGUGAUAGAAAAAUUAAAAAAACUUUUUUUUAAAAUUUUACAUUAAUAUAUGAUUAAAUGAUCCGUAAUUUACGAUUAAAAGAAAAAAUUACCUUAGGGAUAACAGCGUAAUUUUUUUUUUUAGUUCAAAUAGGAAAAAGAGUUUGCGACCUCGAUGUUGGAUUAAGAUAAAAUUUAAAUGCAAAAGUUUAAAAGUUUUGAUCGGUUCCACCAUUGAAAUCUUACA
rnacentral:rRNA from 1 species